rnacentral:lncRNA from 1 species
GCUUCUGUGGUUCCCAAGUCGCAGAAAUACCAGAAGAUGAAAAGUUCAGUUGUUGCACACUUAGGAAAAUCAACCCGUCGACCAUCCGAAAUCAUCCCGAGGUCCCCGGGACCCCAACCAAAAAUACAAUUACCAUAUAACGCCUUAUUCGAAUUUGUACCAAUCCUUAAAACCUCCAAACAACACCAGAAACCCGAUUAAAUCAAAGAUUCAAGCCUAAGAACUUCAAGUUCCUCAAAAACACGCUUUCGAUCCAAAACCUACCCAACACUCC